rnacentral:rRNA from 1 species
UAGAAUCUGUCAUUUUCUGAGAGUUUGAUCCUGGCUCAGGAUUAACGCUGGCGGCAUGCCUAAUACAUGCAAGUCGAUCGGAUGUAGCAAUACAUUAGAGGCGAACGGGUGAGUAACACGUAUCCAAUCUGCCUUAUAGUGGGGGAUAACUAGUCGAAAGAUUAGCUAAUACCGCAUAACAAGUUAACUAUCGCAUGAGAAUAACUUUAAAGAAGCAACUGCUUCGCUAUAAGAUGAGGGUGCGGCAUAUCAGCUAGUUGGUGAGGAUAAUGGCCCACCAAGGCGAUGACGUGUAGUUAUGCUGAGAGGUAGAAUAACCACAAUGGGACUGAGACACGGCCCAUACUCCUACGGGAGGCAGCAGUAGGGAAUUUUUCACAAUGGACGAAAGUCUGAUGGAGCAAUGCCGCGUGAACGAUGAAGGUCUUUUUAGAUUGUAAAGUUCUUUUAUUUGGGAAGAACAGUUAAUAGAGUGGAAAGCUAUUAAUUUGACUGUACCAUUUGAAUAAGUAACGACUAACUAUGUGCCAGCAGUCGCGGUAAUACAUAGGUUGCAAGCGUUAUCCGGAUUUAUUGGGCGUAAAACAAGCGCAGGCGGAUUAG